UUAGAUGUCCGGGGCCGCACGCGCGCUACACUGAAGGAACCAGCGUGUGUUCUCCCGGUCCGGCCGGACCGGGUAACCCGCUGAAACUCCUUCGUGAUAGGGAUAGGGGAUUGUAACUGUUCCCCUCGAACGAGGAAUUCCUAGUAGUCGCGGAUCAUCAGUCCGCGGCGAUUAGGUCCCUGCCCUUUGUCCACACCGCCCGUCGCUACUACCGAUUGAACGAAUUAGUGAGGUCUUCGGACUGGCGUUUCUCUCGGGCCUCGCGUCCGGGGGGACCGGCCGGAAAGAUGACCGAACUUGUUCGUUUAGAGGAAGUAAAAGUCGUAACAAGGUUGCC
rnacentral:rRNA from 1 species